rnacentral:rRNA from 2 species
GGCCUAACACAUGCAAGUCGAGCGCCCCGCAAGGGGAGCGGCAGACGGGAGAGUAACACGUGGGAACAUACCUUUUGGUUCGGAACAACUGAGGGAAACUUCAGCUAAUACCGGAUAAGCCCUUACGGGGAAAGAUUUAUCGCCGAAAGAUUGGCCCGCGUCUGAUUAGCUAGUUGGUGAGGUAACGGCUCACCAAGGCGACGAUCAGUAGCUGGUCUGAGAGGAUGAUCAGCCUCAUUGGGACUGAGACACGGCCCAAACUCCUACGGGAGGCAGCAGUGGGGAAUAUUGGACAAUGGGCGCAAGCCUGAUCCAGCCAUGCCGCGUGAGUGAUGAAGGCCUUAGGGUUGUAAAGCUCUUUUGCCCGGGAAGAUAAUGACGGUACCGGGAGAAUAAGCCCCGGCUAACUUCGUGCCAGCAGCCGCGGUAAUACGAAGGGGGCUAGCGUUGCUCGGAAUCACUGGGCGUAAAGCGCACGUAGGCGGAUCUUUAAGUCAGGGGUGAAAUCCCGGAGCUCAACUCCGGAACUGCCUUUGAUACUGGGGAUCUUGAGUUCGAGAGAGGUGAGUGGAACUGCGAGUGUAGAGGUGAAAUUCGUAGAUAUUCGCAAGAACACCAGUGGCGAAGGCGGCUCACUGGCUCGAUACUGACGCUGAGGUGCGAAAGCGUGGGGAGCAAACAGGAUUAGAUACCCUGGUAGUCCACGCCGUAAACGAUGGAUGCUAGCCGUUGGCCGGUUUACCGGUCAGUGGCGCAGCUAACGCUUUAAGCAUCCCGCCUGGGGAGUACGGUCGCAAGAUUAAAACUCAAAGGAAUUGACGGGGGGCCGCACAAGCGGUGGAGCAUGUGGUUCAAUUCGACGCAACGCGAAGAACCUUACCAGCUCUUGACAUGUCUCGUAUGGAUU